rnacentral:rRNA from 1 species
UAGGGAAUCUUCCGCAAUGGACGCAAGUCUGACGGAGCAACGCCGCGUGAGUGAAGAAGGAUUUCGGUUCGUAAAACUCUGUUGUUAGAGAAGAACAGCGCAUAGAGUAACUGUUAUGCGUGUGACGGUAUCUAACCAGAAAGCCACGGCUAACUACGUGCCAGCAGCCGCGGUAAUACGUAGGUGGCAAGCGUUGUCCGGAUUUAUUGGGCGUAAAGCGAGCGCAGGCGGUCAAUUAAGUCUGAUGUGAAAGCCCCCGGCUCAACCGGGGAGGGUCAUUGGAAACUGGUUGACUUGAGUGCAGAAGAGGAGAGUGGAAUUCCAUGUGUAGCGGUGAAAUGCGUAGAUAUAUGGAGGAACACCGGUGGCGAAAGCGGCUAUCUGGUCUGUAACUGACGCUGAGGCUCGAAAGCGUGGGGAGCGAACAGG